rnacentral:rRNA from 1 species
AGAGUUUGAUCCUGGCUCAGGAUGAACGCUAGCUACAGGACUUAACACAUGCAAGUCGAGGGGCAGCAUGAAGUUUGCUUGCAAACUUUGAUGGCGACCGGCGCACGGGUGAGUAACGCGUAUCCAACCUUCCCUAUAGUAGAGGAUAGCCCGGCGAAAGUCGGAUUAAUACUCUAUGUUUUCCAAUGCAGACAUCUAAAAUGGAACAAAGGUUUACCGCUAUAGGAUGGGGAUGCGUCUGAUUAGGUAGUCGGCGGGGUAACGGCCCACCGAGCCUUCGAUCAGUAGGGGUUCUGAGAGGAAGGUCCCCCCACAUUGGAACUGAGACACGGUCCAAACUCCUACGGGAGGCAGCAGUGAGGAAUAUUGGUCAAUGGGCGAGAGCCUGAACCAGCCAAGUAGCGUGCAGGAUGACGGCCCUAUGGGUUGUAAACUGCUUUUAUACAGGGAUAAAGUGGGGAACGUGUUCCCUUUUGUAGGUACUGUAUGAAUAAGGACCGGCUAAUUCCGUGCC